rnacentral:rRNA from 1 species
UUAAGCAUAUCAAUAAGCGGAGGAAAAGAAACCAACAGGGAUUGCCCCAGUAACGGCGAGUGAAGCGGCAACAGCUCAAAUUUGAAAUCUGGUCCCUAGGGCCCGAGUUGUAAUUUGUAGAGGAUGCUUUUGGUGAGGUGCCGCCCGAGUUCCCUGGAACGGGACGCCACAGAGGGUGAGAGCCCCGUCUGGCUGGCCGCCGAGCCUCUGUAAAGCUCCUUCGACGAGUCGAGUAGUUUGGGAAUGCUGCUCAAAAUGGGAGGUAUAUGUCUUCUAAAGCUAAAUAUUGGCCAGAGACCGAUAGCGCACAAGUAGAGUGAUCGAAAGAUGAAAAGCACCUUGAAAAGAGGGUUAAAUAGUACGUGAAAUUGUUGAAAGGGAAGCGCUUGUGACCAGACUUGGGCGCGGCGGAUCAUCCGGGGUUCUCUCCGGUGCACUUCGCCGCGUCUGGGCCAGCAUCAGUUCGUCGCGGGGGAAAAAGGCUUCGGGAACGUGGCUCCUCCGGGAGUGUUAUAGCCCGUUGCAUAAUACCCUGCGGUGGACUGAGGACCGCGCAUCUGCAAGGAUGCUGGCGUAAUGGUCACCAGCGACCCGUCU